GGGCUCACCUGUUCCCAUUCCGAACACAGAAGUUAAGCCCACCAGCGCCGAUGGUACUGCUAACGCGGGAGAGUAGGUCGCCGCCAGUU
rnacentral:rRNA from 1 species